GAUGAACGCUGGCGGCGUGCCUAAUACAUGCAAGUCGAGCGAACAGACGAGGAGCUUGCUCCUCUGACGUUAGCGGCGGACGGGUGAGUAACACGUGGAUAACCUACCUAUAAGACUGGGAUAACUUCGGGAAACCGGAGCUAAUACCGGAUAAUAUAUUGAACCGCAUGGUUCAAAAGUGAAAGACGGUUUUGCUGUACCUUAUUGAUGGAUCCGCGCCGCAUUAGCUAGUUGGUAAGGUAACGGCUUACCAAGGCAACGAUGCGUAGCCGACCCGAGAGGGUGAUCGGCCACACUGGAACUGAGACACGGUCCAGACUCCUACGGGAGGCAGCAGUAGGGAAUCUUCCGCAAUGGGCGAAAGCCUGACGGAGCAACGCCGCGUGAGUGAUGAAGGUCUUCGGAUCGUAAAACUCUGUUAUUAGGGAAGAACAAAUGUGUAAGUAACUAUGCACGUCUUGACGGUACCUAAUCAGAAAGCCACGGCUAACUACGUG
rnacentral:rRNA from 1 species